rnacentral:tRNA from 1 species
GAGGGUAUAUCUCAACUGGUAGAGCACAUGCUUGGCAUACACAAGGUCCUGGGUUCAAUCCCCAGUACCUCCU